rnacentral:lncRNA from 1 species
GAUGUCAAGACUUGGAGUAGGUGACAGUUGGCCUUGGGCUUCGGUGGCCAACCCAUGACUACAAAAGCCCAAGAAGCCAGCAGGUCCCCCGGCUCCUCCACCAAGUGGCCUCUGGGUGAUGGGGAAGCUUGUCCUCUGCUUUGUCACACACAAAAUUCUAAAAGUCAGGAUCCCAACGCAUCAGCCUGGAGAGCCCGUCCAGGAGGAUUUAUGUGGAAUCUGGCUUUUCUGAUAGCAUCAACGUUCCUUCCCAUGCCUUCUGAGUCUCUUUCUCUUAAUUUGACUGUGGUCUCUGCUCUUUGCUGGACUCGUGUUGAAUAGGACACUGAAGGACAAGGAGGAACUUAUCCAUGGAGGGGGUAGGGGGAGAUGUCACAAAUUCUGCACCAGAAUCUCACAAAUCACAAAGAACUUACUCAUGUAACCAAACACCACCUGUUUCCCAAUAACUAUGGAAAUAAAAAAAAAAAUUUUAAUAAUAAAAAAAUUAAAAAACAAAA